UGGGGAAUAUUGCACAAUGGAGGGAACUCUGAUGCAGCGACGCCGCGUGAACGAAGAAGGCUUUCGAGUCGUAAAGUUCUUUUAUAUGGGAAGAUAAUGACGGUACCAUAAGAAAAAGCCCCGGCUAACUACGUGCCAGCAGUCGCGGUAAUACGUAGGGGGCUAGCGUUGUCCGGAAUCACUGGGCGUAAAGGGUUCGCAGGCGGAAAUGCAAGUCAGGUGUAAAAGGCAGUAGCUUAACUACUGUAAGCAUUUGAAACUGCAUAUCUUGAGAAGAGUAGAGGUAAGUGGAAUUUUUAGUGUAGCGGUGAAAUGCGUAGAUAUUAAAAAGAAUACCGGUGGCGAAGGCGACUUACUGGGCUCAUUCUGACGCUGAGGAACGAAAGCGUGGGUAGCAAACAGG
rnacentral:rRNA from 2 species